rnacentral:lncRNA from 1 species
UUGUUUGAGAACCCAGAUGGUGGCAUUUUCUCUUGCUCAGCCCUUUGUGUGGCUGGUGCCUCCCCUUCCACAUGUCCCUUCCCUCAGGUCCUUGCUUCCUUCAACUUGCUCCUCACAACUCCCCCUUCAGGCCAGUCUUCCAUGAUCUUCCUGAUCAGCGACAUGAUUCUGAACUGCUGUUUGACAUCUUCCCAAAGGAUAUGUGACUGAUGUCCUUGCACCUGUCAGGGUCUGGAUCCCCACUUGAUGUUCCAGACUCCUGCCCAUCAGCCCCAUCCUGGCCUGGGUGUUUCCCAAGAGCCCUUGAGGAGGCUCAGCAGAUGUGCCUGGUGGUCACAGGCCCUUUGGGGGUCUGGGCCUUGUCAUGCAGCUGUCUUCUUUCACCUUAGGCCCCUGGAUGGGAACACCUGCCUCUCCCAGGUGCACAGCUGGGCUCCGCUGCAGGUGCUCCACGGCGAUGCUGAUGUCCUCUUCCCGGU